rnacentral:rRNA from 1 species
UGGGGAAUAUUGCACAAUGGGCGCAAGCCUGAUGCAGCCAUGCCGCGUGUGUGAAGAAGGCCUUCGGGUUGUAAAGCACUUUCAGCGAGGAGGAAGGUGGUGAGCUUAAUACGCUCAUCAAUUGACGUUACUCGCAGAAGAAGCACCGGCUAACUCCGUGCCAGCAGCCGCGGUAAUACGGAGGGUGCAAGCGUUAAUCGGAAUUACUGGGCGUAAAGCGCACGCAGGCGGUUUGUUAAGUCAGAUGUGAAAUCCCUGGGCUCAACCUGGGAACUGCAUUUGAAACUGGCAAGCUAGAGUCUCGUAGAGGGGGGUAGAAUUCCAGGUGUAGCGGUGAAAUGCGUAGAGAUCUGGAGGAAUACCGGUGGCGAAGGCGGCCCCCUGGACGAAGACUGACGCUC